CUUCAUCUGAACUCAUAAUUUUAAUAGUACAAUAAGUUUAAGAAUAUUGAAGAUUGAAUCUGUAACUUUAAAUCCUGAAUCUGCCUCUAAACGUGGGUAGGUUUUGGGUUGGGAAUUGGUGAAACUACACUCUAGGUGGACACUUUUUGCUGGUUAUAUUGGCAACGGAAGGACAAAUACAGAAGGGUACAAACUUAAAUACUGAUGCUUAACUUUCAGGAAUAGCAGUAUCACAAACAGAGGACUUAUCUUGCUGCCUGCAUUUCAGAUCAGAAGGAGCAAAAUUGCAGAGAAAUGGCAAUAAAAGUGGAUCAGGAGCAGAUUCUUGAACCUUAUAUCGACCAAAUACUGAAUCUGUGCCAAAAAAUGAAGCUAUUUCUCGAGGAUCCUUUCCGAUCAUAGCUGUUGCAUUAUUCCAGAAGCCUGGUUUUAG